ACAUUGUUUAAAUAUAAGCUUUGCUGACCUACCUUUGGACAGUUUUUGGCUGACUGCUGCAAAGGAGUUCCCCAUUCUGUCAAAUAAGGCAAUUUCAACAUUACUCCCAUUUUCCACAACAUAUCUGUGUGAGCUGAGCUUUUCAACCCUGACUGCUAUCAAAACUAAAAACAGAGAGACUGAGAGCUGUUGAUGAAGAGCUUCGUGUGUGUCUGUCUUCAAUUCCUCCCAGGAUAUCAGCUUUGUGCUCAUCUAAACAGGCCCAGGUUUCACAUUGAGACAGUAAAAUACAC